rnacentral:rRNA from 1 species
AUGCCUACAUAUCUACCACAAUACAACCCAAUCCUAAAUCCUAUGGCGAUGUAUGGACAAGACCAAAGAUUGCCAGCUGAAUUGCAACAUUACAAUAGCUUAAUGGGUCAUUUGGGAGUUCCGACAAAUCACGUGUAUACCUAUUCAGAACAAUGCAACUCAGCUCUGGAUGCCUCACUAUUGCCGUCUCUUGGUACGAUGAGAGGACACCCAGCUCCAAAUUUCUCGCUGCAACCAACCAUUGGUACAAUGAGAGGACACCCAGCUCUGAAUGCCUCACUGCAGUCGUCCAUUGGUACGAUGAACCAAGCUCCAAAUGCCUCACUGUAG